rnacentral:lncRNA from 1 species
CAGUCGUUGACACACCCUCGAGCUCACAUUUCCUCUAUACUAGUACUGCACCAGUACAGGCCAGUGAUGGAUGUGGCCUUUGUACAGUUCUUGGCAUCAGUUUCUGGGAAAGUCUCUUGUUUGGACACCUGCGGUGACUUGCUGGUGACUCUACAGUCCCUGAGCCGCCAGGGUGAGAAGCGGAGCCUCCAGCUCUCCGGCAAGGUCAACGCCAUGACUUUCACCUUUGACAACGUGCUCCCUGGAAAAUACAAAAUAAGCAUCAUGCAUGAGGAUUGGUGCUGGAAGAACAAGAGCCUGGAGGUGGAAGUGCUGGAGGAUGAGGUGUCUGCAGUUGAGUUCAGGCAGACGGGCUACAUGCUGAGAUGUUCCCUGUCUCACGCCAUCACUCUGGGGCCCAGCAGGGAGCUCGUAUGCCGCUCGUGCCUGAAGCAGACGCUGCACAAGCUGGAGGCCAUGAUGCGCAUCCUGCAGGCAGAGACCACCGCAGGCACCGUGAUGCCCACCGCCAUCGGAGACAGCAUCCUCAACAUCACAGGCCGCUACCUGUCUGAGGAAUCCGAGCCCUACCUGGCAGUCUAUCUGCACUCGGAGCCCGGCCCAAUGAGCAGCAACUGCUCGGGCUAGCAGGAGGAUCACCCCAGAGUCUCCAGGGUGCCGACCACGGCCCUACACUUCUUCAUUUCCCCGCGGGGUGAGCUCUGCGGGCGGCCUGGCAGGGCAGGGCAGGGCAUCAUGGGUCAGCAUUGCCCGGGUUACUGGCCCUAUGGGGAGGCAGGCAGCGAGGGGACUGGACCGGGUAUGGGCUCUGGGACUUCUGACAUCCAACCUGGCGGAGCUGGGCUCAUGUCCACUGCCCUUCCCUGCCCAGGAGCAGAGACCGCAGCGGGGAGUUACCAUCUGAACCUCUCCAGCCACUUCCGCUGGUCGGCACUGGAGGUGUCCGUGGGCCUGUACACGUCCCUGUGCCAGUACUUCAGCGAGGAGGACAUGGUGUGGCCGACAGAGGGCUGCUGCCCUGGAGGAGACCUCGCCCGACCAGGCCGUCUGCCUCACCGCCACCUCACAGCGCCUUCGCGCCAGCCUGUUCGUGCCCCCAAGCCAUGUC